ACCCUACACAUCGAUUAGCUAACGAUGACAAUGUUGGCAGUAUCCAUCAAAAGGAUGAUGGUAGACCGAGCCAAUCUUUUGUGGACCAUCUUGUUGAGACUAGUUGCAUAAAGUUGAUUCAUCUCAAAAGGACGAAACUUCUGAUUUAUCCAUUUUCAAUAUUGUAGUCAAAUAAAUGAAGAAAAAAAUUUAAUGGCAGCUUCAGGUAUUUUACUUCACUUUCUUUGAAAUAUUUGUCCAUGUGCAAUAGAUAAUGUCACGGU
rnacentral:lncRNA from 1 species